rnacentral:rRNA from 1 species
UAGAUACCCUAUUAUUUUAGAUUUAAAGGUUUAGACUUGAGUAGUAUUAGAUAUGAUCUUGAAACUUAAAGAAUUUGGCGGUAUUUUAGUCUAGUUAGAGGAAUCUGUCCCAUUAUCGAUAAUCCACGUUGAACCUUACUUAAUAUAAUUUAAUAUGUAUACCGCUGUUUAUUUGAAGAUCUUUUUAGGGGUAAUUUUCUUUAAAUUUUAAUUGAUUUUAUUUCAAGUCAAGGUGCAGUUUAUAAUUAAGUGGUGAUGGAUUACAUUAUUUAUAAAAUAAAUGAAUUGGAAUAUGAAAUUAUUUUAUGAAGGAGGAUUUAAUAGUAAUUAAUAAUAAGAAUAUUUUUGUGACUUUAGCUCUAAAAUGUGCACACAUCGCCCGUCACUCUCGUUAUUAAGAUGAGAUAAGUC